UGGCGCGCUUUUGAAAGUUUCUACCAUGGAUAAAUUACUUCAUGGAUUUUAGAAAAAAAAGUAUUUCUUUUUCAUUAAUUUUGAUCUUUUUCAUGCACUAAAACUAUUAUAUUUUAUUUUAGUAGAAAAAGGGAAAUAUUAUGGAAUAAAACUCAACCAAUUAGAUUUCGUAGGUAAACAUUUUAUCCAAAAGAAAAAAAAAAGCAAUAAAAGUUAAACUUUUGAACUCAUAAAUCACUGUUUCUUGAAUGUUUUAUUUUACAACAGAAGAACAUUCACGGCAAAAGACACAAAGAACAAUUAACAUGCUGUUUAAUGAGCUUUUUGUUAAUGUGCUCCAGACACUCCCCGACCCAAACACACCAUCUAUCUUUUGUCAUGCUUUUAUUGCGAUCUAUUUUCAAGCGAAACAAAAACAUUUCCAAAUUUUUCAUUUUGCACAUUUCCUGGGUAGGAAAUCUUAGCGUUUUCGGGCAAACAAACGAAAACAAACACAGCAGCCGGCAAUUUGUGCUUUUGUGUGUGGAAUUUUGGCAGCUGCCGUAGAAAAACCAGAUAUUACACUAAGCUACAAGGUAGAAGAACAAGUUUUCAGGAGUUUUCAUUUUUAAUAAUUUUUUUAUUAAAGUUUUUGAGAUUUUUUUUCGAAAAAAAGAGUAAUUUAAUUAAAAUCAAACAUUGAUGUAAAGUAUUUCCUGUUGUUUAGUGUUUUUGCGUCGCAUCUUGUAAAUACGCAACAAGAUGCGCAAUAAGAAAAUCCGUACUGGCCACAAAAUAACAAAAACAAAAAAAAAAAAAACAGGAACAUGAAGCGCGCAUUUUGUAAAAAUGGCAAAAACUGAAAACAAACAAAACUUAAAUGCGCCACAUCUGGCAACAUUGCUAAAACCAACAAACAUGACAUCACUUUUUUGCGCACUCACCAAAGUAAUAAAAGCACGCCCCGAGUUGGGGCGGGAUGGGUGGUGGGGAUUGAAAGGGCGAUAGAGAGCGGCUAUGGCAGCGGAGAGCGAGCCAGCGCGUCGCCGUUUUACCGCUCUCCCGCUUAAGCUCACUCUUCCACUCUCUCUCUCUCGCUGUCUCUCUGGCCCAUGUUAUACACAAGCAACGGAGCGAAAAUAAAAAAUAAUAACACGAAUGAGAGAAGGGAAACAUAAAGGUAAAAAUUGGGGAAGCUGCUGGAAUGGGGCUGAUCGGAUGAAGGGAGGGUGGGGGAUGGGGGGAUGGGGGAGUGGGAGCAUAUCUCCCCAGUUGAUUAAAAACAGUGUUGCCACCGGGCUGCCGAAAAAAUGUUGGGUCCCAAUCGCCCCCAACAUCUUCUUGGUCAUUUAUUUCCUCUAUUGUUGUCAAACAGACGGUGAAAUGAACACAAAAAAAAAAGAAGCGAACCAAAUGACACAAGCUGACAUCCCAGAAAAACAUCAGAGAACAAAUGCGGCAAACUAUUUGGAACGCGCUCACAAACCAAAAGAACCAUCAGUGACAAGCACACCUGAGAUCCUAUUGGAACUCCCCUGACUGUGUCACGUAACUAGGUAAUAGGACCAGAGUGCACGGUGGGCUGGCAGCUCAAAAGCGAUCCCAUUUGAAUACGACAUCAUGCAUAACUAAAGUUCUGACCACAGAGCUCUAUAUAUAGAAUUUACUACUCCCGAUUAAUUCUUCGCUUGAUUUACGCUCCCCAAUAUUUUCGGGGGCCUUAAGUGAUUUGAGAUUAUUUUGUGCUAUUGAUAACUCCCUACCCGACUGCCUGACUGCCUGCCUGACUAAAAAAUGAUAAGGAUUCGCCUCGAAGAUUGAUGAUGACAUUGGUAUCAACAAAAAUAAUAUAUAUAAACGAUACUUUAUUGUUUUUAAA